rnacentral:snRNA from 1 species
AAGCGUCGUUCGGACCGCCUU